rnacentral:rRNA from 1 species
UACGAAGGGGGCUAGCGUUGCUCGGAAUCACUGGGCGUAAAGGGUGCGUAGGCGGGGCUUUAAGUCAGGGGGGAAAUCCCGGGGCUCAACCCCGGAACUGCCUUUGAUACUGAUAGUCUCGAGUCCGGAAGAGGUGAGUGGAAUUCCGAGUGUAGAGGUGAAAUUCGUAGAUAUUCGGAGGAACACCAGUGGCGAAGGCGGCUCACUGGUCCGGUACUGACGCUGAGGUGCGAAAGCGUGGGGAGCAAACAGG